rnacentral:rRNA from 1 species
AGAGUUUGAUCCUGGCUCAGGAUGAACGCUAGCGGCAGGCUUAACACAUGCAAGUCGAGGGGUAUAGUAGCAAUACUAGAGACCGGCGCACGGGUGCGUAACGCGUAUGCAAUCUACCUUUUGCAGAGGGAUAGCCCAGAGAAAUUUGGAUUAAUACCUCAUAGUAUGUUUGAAUGGCAUCAUUUAAACAUUAAAGUCACAACGGCAAAAGAUGAGCAUGCGUCCCAUUAGCUAGUUGGUAAGGUAACGGCUUACCAAGGCGACGAUGGGUAGGGGUCCUGAGAGGGAGAUCCCCCACACUGGUACUGAGACACGGACCAGACUCCUAUGGGAGGCAGCAGUGAGGAAUAUUGGACAAUGGGCGCAAGCCUGAUCCAGCCAUGCCGCGUGCAGGAUGACGGUCCUAUGGAUUGUAAACUGCUUUUGUACAGGAAGAAACACUCCCUCGUGAGGGAGCUUGACGGUACUGUAAGAAUAAGGAUCGGCUAACUCCGUGCCAGCAGCCGCGGUAAUACGGAGGAUCCAAGCGUUAUCCGGAAUCAUUGGGUUUAAAGGGUCCGUAGGCGGCUUUAUAAGUCAGUGGUGAAAUCUCCCCGCUCAACGGGGAAACGGCCAUUGAUACUGUAAGGCUUGAAUUAUUAGGAAGUAACUAGAAUACGUAGUGUAGCGGUGAAAUGCUUAGAGAUUACAUGGAAUACCAAUUGCGAAGGCAGGUUACUACUAAUGGAUUGACGCUGAUGGACGAAAGCGUGGGUAGCGAACAGGAUUAGAUACCCUGGUAGUCCACGCCGUAAACGAUGGAUACUAGCUGUUGGGAGCAAUCUCAGUGGCUAAGCGAAAGUGAUAAGUAUCCCACCUGGGGAGUACGUUCGCAAGAAUGAAACUCAAAGGAAUUGACGGGGGCCCGCACAAGCGGUGGAGCAUGUGGUUUAAUUCGAUGAUACGCGAGGAACCUUACCAAGGCUUAAAUGUAGAUUGACCGGACUGGAAACAGUUUUUUCGCAAGACAAUUUACAAGGCGCUGCAUGGUUGUCGUCAGCUCGUGCCGUGAGGUGUCAAGUUAAGUCCUAUAACGAGCGCAACCCCUGUCGUUAGUUGCCAGCGAGUCAUGUCGGGAACUCUAACGAGACUGCCAGUGCAAACUGAGAGGAAGGUGGGGAUGACGUCAAAUCAUCACGGCCCUUACGCCUUGGGCUACACACGUGCUACAAUGGCCGGUACAGAGAGCAGCCACUGGGUGACCAGGAGCGAAUCUACAAAACCGGUCACAGUUCGGAUCGGAGUCUGCAACUCGACUCCGUGAAGCUGGAAUCG